UACGGAGGAUGCGAGCGUUAUCCGGAUUUAUUGGGUUUAAAGGGUGCGUAGGCGGGCUUUUAAGUCAGCGGUAAAAAUUCGGGGCUCAACCCCGUCCGGCCGUUGAAACUGGGGGCCUUGAGUGGGCGAGAAGAAGGCGGAAUGCGUGGUGUAGCGGUGAAAUGCAUAGAUAUCACGCAGUACCCCGAUUGCGAAGGCAGCCUUCCGGCGCCCUACUGACGCUGAGGCACGAAAGUGCGGGGAUCGAACAGG
rnacentral:rRNA from 1 species